rnacentral:lncRNA from 1 species
AGUCUGACAGCUUCAAAUGUCCCGGGUUGUGCUCAAAGCCUCCCUCUUGUGAGAAGAAUCUCUUUGGUUGCCUGUUAAAGCGGUCAGCCAGCUUGCAACACGGAAGCAGCUUUUAGAGGAAUUAAAACCAAAACAAGGAGCAAAUUCUGGAUUAAAAAGAUAUUUGCAACCAUUCUUCCAAUCAAUUUUAGAAAAUUUCCACCACCUCAAAAAGAAAUCCU